rfam:Perkinsus marinus ATCC 50983 gcontig_1104296062545, whole genome shotgun sequence.
CUGGAUAGAAUGUCUGCCUACGGAGCAGAUGGUCGUAGGUUCGAAUCCUGCAUCGGGUA